GACGAACGCUGGCGGCGUGCUUAACACAUGCGAGUCGAACGUGAUUUUUGUGGAAAUUCUUUCGGGAAUGGAAAUGAAAUGAAAGUGGCGAACGGGUGAGUAACACGUGAGCAACCUACCUUACACAGGGGGAUAGCCGUUGGAAACGACGAUUAAUACCGCAUGAGACCACAGAAUCGCAUGAUAUAGGGGUCAAAGAUUUAUCGGUGUAAGAAGGGCUCGCGUCUGAUUAGCUAGUUGGAAGGGUAAAGGCCUACCAAGGCGACGAUCAGUAGCCGGUCUGAGAGGAUGAACGGCCACAUUGGAACUGAGACACGGUCCAAACUCCUACGGGAGGCAGCAGUGGGGAAUAUUGCACAAUGGGGGGAACCCUGAUGCAGCGACGCCGCGUGAGCGAAGAAGGUUUUCGAAUCGUAAAGCUCUGUCCUAUGAGAAGAUAAUGACGGUAUCAUAGGAGGAAGCCCCGGCUAAAUACGUG
rnacentral:rRNA from 1 species